CUUACUCCCUCCCUCUCCCUUCUUACCCUCCCCUCCCUCUCUCUUUGCCAUGUCCCCUCCCCCUCCUUCUCUCCCCUCCUUCCUUCUUCCCUCCCCCGCGCCCUGCAGGGAACAGGGCACCCGGCGAAGCUGAAGACCCCUUCCCUCCCCAGGGAGCUAGAAGCCGUGACACUUGAGGCCCUGGCCGCGCUGGCCGCCUGUGUUUCGGCGCUUCUGGACCCGGAAUCGGCAAACACUGAGCCAGUGACACCCGCCAAACGGGUUAAAGGCGAGCAAAGGUGUUUCGAGGAGGCUCUUUCGGUAAACAGAGCAUGAAGAUUCACCAAAGGUUCAGCAGAGCUGCCCUGCUUUGGCUCCAAGGACUUGUGACGGUGCCACAGAGAGGAUGGGACAAGUGGCAGAAGAACCACAGAGAUGAUAGAUGGACGUGGAGGAGGGGACACAAUUAGUCAGAAGCAAACAGGGGAAGGAGGGCUGGUGGGAGAGUAAAUGAAGGACACCCUGUGCUUCAGGGGAUCUGUUUUACGUGGCUGCCCUGACCCAUAAUUCAUCCCUCUUACCUGCUCCUCUUCCUCUUGCACCUGUUGCCUUUACUAGAUACUCCGUUUGCCCCUUCAGAUUCCCUCUCCACCCUUUUCCGCCCUGCUCUGUGCCCCAGGGGACUCCCCGCCUGUGGCCUCUCUGGGCCAGGUUACAGCUCCUCCCCACAGCUCUCACUGGGUUCUGGUGAUCGCCUCUCCUCUCGGCCCGUCCAGCCUAGGUGUGGGUGUGCUUCCCCACAGUGGGUAAUUCUGGGGUCCGGCACCAUUCCUUGCUGGUUUCCUUGAAGUCAGCCCACAUCUUGGUAAAUCCUCCGUUUAUUAAACUCUUCUCAGUUACUCAA